ensembl:snoRNA
CCUGCUUCUCGAAGUGUUGCAGGUGAGGCUGCUGUGUCACAUGUAAAUGGCAGAGAGAAAAGGCUAUUUCAACACUCAGUGUCUGAUCUAUGAAUAUCUGAAUGAUUAAUAGCCUAACAUU